rnacentral:rRNA from 1 species
UUGGAGGGCAAGUCUGGUGCCAGCAGCCGCGGUAAUUCCAGCUCCAAUAGCGUAUAUUAAAGUUGUUGCAGUUAAAAAGCUCGUAGUUGAAUUUCGGGAUCAAUUUAUUGGUCGGGCUUCACGGUCCGUACUGGUGUGAUGGGUUCCUACCUUCCGAAUAACCGGCAUGCCAUUAAUUUGGUGCGCCGGGGAAGCAGAACUAUUACCUUGAAAAAAUUAGAGUGCUUAAAGCAGGCAAGUGCCUGAAUAGGUUAGCAUGGAAUAAUAAAAUAGGACGGCAUGGUUCUAUUUUGUUGGUUUCUAGGAUCACCGUAAUGAUUAAUAGGGAUAGUUGGGGGCAUUAGUAUUCAAUUGUCAGAGGUGAAAUUCUUGGAUUUAUUGAAGACUAACUUCUGCGAAAGCAUUUGCCAAGGAUGUUUUCAUUAAUCAAGAACGAAAGUUAGGGGAUCGAAGACGAUCAGAUACCGUCGUAGUCUUAACCAUAAACUAUGCCGACUAGGGAUCGGAUGAUGUUAAUUUUUUAAUGACUCAUUCGGCGCCUUACGGGAAAC